CUGACUGUAAAGACUUUGGCUCCAUGGCGAUUAAACUGUAUUUGUGUGGUCUGAGCGCCAUUCACUUAAUAAUGUGCGCUCAGACCUGAGCUAUCUGGGGAUAUGUUAAAUGUAUAGUUAUAAUGUAAUGUGUCUUACCUGGUGUAUUUUAACAGUAAUGCUUGUUUUAGUGUCCCCAUGUGCAUAAUGGAGAUUUGCCUUUGUCUUGGGAGAUAAUUGAAUUACUUCUUAAUUAUCUCCCAGGGCAGAGGGGAGGAAGCCAGGAUGCAUUGUGGGAAUAUACUGUGACUGUGUG